GCCACAGGUUAACUGAUGUUAAGUCAGUUGCAAGUGUUUUCCCUUGCAGUGUGUAAUGAAGUCCACGGAUCUGCUAGUGCUCUUCUGUAAUGUGAAAAUAGCAAGGGGUAAAUGGAUGGCUGAAAAAUUUCUAUAGCAGUUGCUUCUAAAUGAGUCCACGGGGAAACCUCUACAGGCUUUGAAUAAUGUAUAUACUACAGCCUAACUCUAAGCGGGGCAUCAGACUGCUUCAUAACCCUGAAUACAGAAAAGCAACUCCUAGGUAAUUAACUUGUGCUGUCUUUUGCUUAUAGCUGUAGGCAUCUUUUGAAGGCAGCAAAAGUUUGUACUCUGCCUUUGACAGUUACUCCAGAACUGCUCUAUUGUAAGAGAAGAUUGUGUGCUCCAGAAGAGCCGAAAGCUGUGAAUGGUGGGAGUGACACCCAGGUUACUGAAGACUGAGCUGAACCAAGAACACCACUGUCAAUCUCCAUCUUUGUGCAAAGAAAACUGGCUACAAGUGGGUGACAAUGGCCUAGCAAAUGUCUACAAUGAGAAAGUCCUGCUGCAGUAAAAUAUUUCUGAAACAGGUGGGUGGUGAUGAUGACGGAAGAGCUUUUGUUGUAUUGUCCUCCUGGUGAGACAGGCUUUGUGAGAUGGAUAGUGCUUUCU